rnacentral:tRNA from 1 species
AGAAAUAUUAGGUAUAUGAAAAAGCUGCUAACUUUAUUCUUUAAUGGUUAAACUCCAUUUAUAUUUCUU